rnacentral:lncRNA from 1 species
GCUGACUGUAAGACGUGCUAGAGGAUGGGAAAAAAACACAAUAAAACAAAUACUCAGCAAUUUAGUAGCGCGGCGCUGCCUGGGGCCAAGAUGGAUCAGCUGCUACCAUGCUUAGCUGGAGCUAUUCCACACCAGCCUCAUCUCAUUUAGCUGCUCUUAGGGGAAGUGAAUCACAGCUUGACAGCUCAUCCACCAGGGGGAGAACUGACACAAAUGCCGACUUGUUGGACAGGUAAAGUGGUAGAGGAUCAUCGUCUGUCACAGCCACUGUCCAGGAUGGUGACAAGAAAGGCCAAAAUCCAAGAACACCAGUUGUCACAGGAAUCAGAGAGGAGUGUGCGGUGGUUCUGAGUGGUGGCUCAUUAAAAACCUCAGAGGUAAGCACAUCUCACAGUCCUCAGGCUCUCCAUUCUACAGGAGGGUCAAUAGCUGCAACUUCACUGCCAUGCUUACCAUCGCACAUACACACAAAGAUAAGAGUUAUGGAAAUAGUGAUGAAUUGUGAUGUCGGCCAUCGGAGCACAGUUUGCCAGAGGCAUUCUCCUCUCCAUCUCAACUCACUGACACCUUGAUGUGUUCAUAUUGAUUACAGUAUGUCUGUCUUUAAUAACACACGGGUAUGCACACAGACCACUGAGGGGAUGCAGUGGUUGUAGUGGUGAGGUGUUUGUUGCAUAUUGAGUGAUUCCUAAGUGGACAGCUGAAAGAGCUAUGUGUCAUGGCAUCGAUCACUCCAUUAAGUAGUCACCGGAGAGUGGGUUUUACGGCCCGGUGUGCCGUUAAUAAAGCUCCUGCGGUUUUUUAACGACCUCA